GACGAACGCUGGCGGCGUGCUUAACACAUGCAAGUCGAACGGAAAGGCCCUUCGGGGUACUCGAGUGGCGAACGGGUGAGUAACACGUGGGUGAUCUGCCCUGCACUUUGGGAUAAGCCUGGGAAACUGGGUCUAAUACCGGAUAGGACCACUGCCUGCAUGGGUGGUGGUGGAAAGAUUUUGCGGUGUGGGAUGGGCCCGCGGCCUAUCAGCUUGUUGGUGAGGUGAUGGCCUACCAAGGCGACGACGGGUAGCCGGCCUGAGAGGGUGAUCGGCCACACUGGGACUGAGAUACGGCCCAGACUCCUACGGGAGGCAGCAGUGGGGAAUAUUGCACAAUGGGCGCAAGCCUGAUGCAGCGACGCCGCGUGAGGGAUGACGGCCUUCGGGUUGUAAACCUCUUUCAGCACCGACGAAGCGCAAGUGACGGUAGGUGCAGAAGAAGGACCGGCCAACUACGUGCCAGCCGCCGCGGUAA
rnacentral:rRNA from 1 species